GACGAAAGCGGGCGGCGUGCCUAAUACAUGCAAGUCGAGCGAAGCGGCGGAUGGGUGAGUAACGCGUGGGUAACCUGGCCUUAAGCCUGGGGUACCAUGUGGUAACAGAUGCUAAUACCGGAUACUAAAGGAUGGACUUGCGAUGCAUUAGCUAGUUGGUAAGGUAACGGCUUACCACGGCGAUGAUGCAUAGCCGGGGUGAGAGACUGAUCGGGCACAUUGGGACGGAGACACGGCCCAAACUCCUACGGGAGGCAGCAGUAGGGAAUCUUCCACAAUGGACGAAAGUCUGAUGGAGCCACGCCGCGUGAGGGAAGAAGGUUUUCGGAUCGUAAAGCUCUGUUGUUGGUGAAGCGGUAAUCAACCAGAAAGUCACGGCUAACUCCGUGCCAGCAGCCGCGGUAAUAC
rnacentral:rRNA from 1 species